GUGGGGAAUAUUGGACAAUGGGCGAAAGCCUGAUCCAGCCAUGCCGCGUGUGUGAAGAAGGUCUUCGGAUUGUAAAGCACUUUAAGUUGGGAGGAAGGGCAGUAAGUUAAUACCUUGCUGUUUUGACGUUACCGACAGAAUAAGCACCGGCUAACUUCGUGCCAGCAGCCGCGGUAAUACGAAGGGUGCAAGCGUUAAGCGGAAUUACUGGGCGUAAAGCUAGCGUAGGUGGUUUUGUAAGUUGGAGGUGAAAUCCCCGGGCUCAACCUGGGAACUGCCUCCAAAACUGCAUGACUAGAGUACGGUAGAGGGUAGUGGAAUUUCCUGUGUAGCGGUGAAAUGCGUAGAUAUAGGAAGGAACACCAGUGGCGAAGGCGACUACCUGGACUGAUACUGACACUGAGGUGCGAAAGCGUGGGGAGCAAACAGGAUUAGAAACCCCAGUAGUCC
rnacentral:rRNA from 1 species